UUUUAAUAUAUCUAGUUUUUUAAGAAAUAAAUUUAAUUUAGAUAAUUUAUUUUAAUAAUUUAAUUUUAUAAGUUGUUAUACUAAAUUAUUAAUAUUUUAAGGGAUGAGCUUUAAAAUAAAAUUUUAUAAAUAAUUAUUAUUAAGCAAUAAUUGUAAGCUUAGAAUUAGCUAUCAAUAGAAAUUAUGUUUUAAUUUAUUUUUUAAUUAAUAUUAUUUAUUAUUUAUUUUAAAUUUUUUAUUAAAAUAUAAAUUUUAAUUUUAUAAAUUUAUUAAUAAUGAUAAAAUUAGUAAACAUUAAUGAUUAUUUAAAUAAAUUUUUAUUUGAUUGGUUUUUAUAAUUAAUUCGGCAAAUUUUGUGCUCACCUGUUUAUCAAAAACAUGUCUUUUUGGUUAUUUAAUAUAAAGUCUGACCUGCCCACUGAAUUUAUUUUGAAGGGCCGCAGUAUUUUGACUGUGCAAAGGUAGCAUAAUCAUUAGUCUUUUAAUUGAAGGCUGGUAUGAAUGGUUGGAUGAGGCACAAGCUGUGUCAUAAAAAUUAACUUUUGAAUUUACCUUUUUAGUCAAAAGGCUAAAAUAAAAUUAAAAGACGAGAAGACCCUAUAGAGCUUUAUAUAAUUUAUAUUUAAAUUAUUAAGAUUUUUCAAAUUUAAUUAUUUUAUUAUAUUUUGUUGGGGUGACAAUAAAAUUUAUAAAACUUUUAUUUUUAUUAACCAUUUAUUUAUGAAUAUAUGAUCCAGUUUUAUUGAUUAUAAAUUUAAGUUACCUUAGGGAUAACAGCGUAAUUUUUUUUGAGAGUUCUUAUCGACAAAAAAGAUUGCGACCUCGAUGUUGGAUUAAGAGUAAUUUUGGGUGUAGAAGUUCAAAGUUUAAGUCUGUUCGACUUUUAAAUUCUUACAU
rnacentral:rRNA from 1 species